GAUGAACGCUGGCGGCGUGCUUAACACAUGCAAGUCGAACGAGAAGUGGAGACGGAAACCUUCGGGCGGAAGACUUUAUUUCGAGUGGCGGACGGGGGAGUAACGCGUGGGUAACCUGCCUCAUACAGGGGGAUAACAGUUGGAAACGACUGUUAAUACCGCAUAAGACCACAGCACCGCAUGGUGCGGGGGUAAAAACUCCGGUGGUAUGAGAUGGACCCGCGUUCGAUUAGCCAGUUGGCGGGGUAACGGCCCACCAAAGCGACGAUCGAUAGCCGAUCUGAGAGGAUGACCGGCCACAUUGGGACUGAGCCACGGCCCCACCUCCUACGGGAGGCAGCCGUGGGGAAUAUUGCCCCAUGGGGGAAACCCUGCUGCCGCGCCGCCGCGUGAGUGAAGAAGUAUUUCGGUAUGUCCAUCUCUAUCAGCAGGGACGCCCAUGCCGGUACCUGAGUAAGACGCCCCGGCUAACUACGUG
rnacentral:rRNA from 1 species